rnacentral:rRNA from 1 species
GAUGAACGCUGGCGGCGUGCUUAACACAUGCAAGUCGAACGAAGCAUUUAAGACAGAUUACUUCGGUUUGAAGUCUUUUAUGACUGAGUGGCGGACGGGUGGGUAACGCGUGGGUAACCUGCCUCAUACAGGGGGAUAGCAGCUGGAAACGGCUGGUAAUACCGCAUAAGCGCACAGUACCACAUGGUACAGUGUGAAAACCUCCGGUGGUAUGAGAUGGACCCGCGUCUGAUUAGCUUGUUGGCGGGGUAACGGCCCACCAAGGCGACGAUCAGUAGCCGACCUGAGAGGGUGACCGGCCACAUUGGGACUGAGACACGGCCCAGACUCCUACGGGAGGCAGCAGUGGGGAAUAUUGCACAAUGGAGGAAACUCUGAUGCAGCGACGCCGCGUGAGUGAAGAAGUAGUUCGCUAUGUAAAGCUCUAUCAGCAGGGAAGAUAGUGACGGUACCUGACUAAGAAGCUCCGGCUAAAUACGUG